CUUUUUUGAAUUAUUGUUACUCUGAAGAUGCACUUUAAUGAUUUUAACUGCGCUCAAAACGAAUAGAACUAUUAGUUUUAUAUAGUAUAGAAAAUGAAUGUGACUACGACAUCCAUAAAUUGUUGCAUUUAAUGGGAUAUGAGUUCUUGACCUCUCUGUCACCACUAUGCACUAAACCUUUGUCCUUAAAAUCAUUCAAUGCUUUUAGUGUCAAUUUUAGUUUUGCAAAUGUGUGUAUCAUUUUCAGUAGAAGACACAUUACAGUUCCUAUUUGUAUUCCACCCUGUGAUUUAUUUUACACAUGUCUUUACUAGGGUAGAUUGUGUUUAGGAUGACAAUGUAUGAAAGCUAAAGAUUACUGUUGGACACGUUAGCUUCUUGGGGAGGUGAUUAAGAAACCAGACACUUCAAGGUGCUUCUCCCUCCAUCUGCCUCUCUGCACCAGCAGCAUUACGUCAAUGCGUCCGAUGUAAAAACGACGAUUUGUUUAAACUAAAGGCCAUGUGGACACUUCCUGCCUGCAUCCUCUGUUUACUGUCAACAAGCUGAGAAAGGUCACUUCUUAGGUUAGCUGCAGUCUUCAAGCAGGUCAUCAACAAUACUCAGGUGACACUGGCCUUCACUGUCAACAUGUGACUUCAUUGUUUUUAUGUAUUCAGGCUUUACUUUUAAGACGUAAAUGCAUAAUUGCAUGUUUAAUCUAAAUUUCUUUUUGUGCGUAAGGGGCAAUAAAAAGUCUCCUAUGGGUAAUAUAACAGUGAGGUUUUUUUAAAGAUGUCAACUUAUUUUAUUCAAAUACAUUUAGAGAUUUGGAUGUCUAAAUGACCAAACAGGCAAAAAUAACAGAAAUCCCUAGCGAGGUACUCAGAGUGCAAUCCAUUAAGAAUAAAAAAAUACGCAAAUUCACAAUGACAUUGUCUUUUUUUUUUUUUUUUUACGGAGUGUGUUGAAACCGAUUGUUAUUAAAGUGUUCCGGGUACAUGUUGACUUGAGCAGGGGUGUGUAAUUGUCCUGGGGACGUAAGUCUGAGUCAGUGGGGGUGGGGGGGUUUGUUGUUGAGAUUGUACAUUCUUGUGAGACCAAUAGGUUACUGACUCUGGGGCCUGUUCAGAGUCCAGCCACAGCAGGUGACCUGAUGUACUGUAGAUGGAUGCCUCACACCACGACUAGUUCUUCACUUCAAGAGGAAAGGAAUGGGACCCUUUGAUGAGCCGUUCAUUACAGUUCUCCAACGUAAUCGAUGGUGGCAUGUCGGUGUACAAGGAUCUUUUUGCAAAGAAGAAAAAAGAGCGACAACAGCUGCCUAUCACUAAGUUCUUCUCCCGAACAAACACACCUGCACCGCCGGCGUCAGAAGAAGAGAACACUGCAGAGCGUAGUCAGGAUGCAGCGGAACGGCCUACACGUCUCCCUGCAGCGCCACUGGUCCAUCCAGUUCUAAGCAUUGGCGCUCACGUACCAUGCUGUGAAUGGGUCGGGUCCAGUCUCCAUCCAGGACAUGGUCAAACCCUACAUCCCAACCCGUGCACUCUGCAUCUCACUGUAGCACUUUAAUUGUACUAAUAGCUCUACAGCAAGUUGUAAAUGGGCUAACUUGAUGAUAGUUUCUUGUUCCUCAGAGUUUGUAAUAGGCUUUGGAUAAAAGCGCCAGCUCAAUGACAUGUAAUAAUCAUCAUGCAAAAGGACUUUUGUGGACAUGUUGGAGAUUUUAAGUUACAACCUGGCCUUUGGCUCACCCCUCCCUAAAAAUGAUUAUAUAAGGGAUGCUAGGAGUUGGUAUCUUUUGGAUUUUAAUACUAGGAAAAGCUCUCAUCAAAACUCUUCCUGGUGUCAGUGCUUUUAGAUCCCAAAAUACCUUUAACAAUGUAAACACAUUAAUUCAUUCACCCUGAAAAGUCACUUGACAAUGUUUUUCAGAGGACAUUUCUCUACAGGAGAAACUUCAUCUAAUAAUUGUAAUAGGAGUUCUCGAUCUGGCCAGAUGUGCGAGCCAAAACACUGGCAGCUUUGCUGC